rnacentral:rRNA from 1 species
UGGGGAAUAUUGCGCAAUGGGGGAAACCCUGACGCAGCAACGCCGCGUGCGGGAUGAAGGCCUUCGGGUUGUAAACCGCUUUCAGCAGGGAAGACAUCGACGGUACCUGCAGAAGAAGCCCCGGCUAACUACGUGCCAGCAGCCGCGGUAAUACGUAGGGGGCGAGCGUUGUCCGGAAUCAUUGGGCGUAAAGGGUACGUAGGCGGCCCAGUAAGUUAGAAGUGAAAUAAUAUAGCUCAACUAUAUAAAGCUUUUAAAACUGCUAGGCUUGAGAGAUGGAAGGGAAAGUGGAAUUCCUAGUGUAGCGGUGAAAUGCGCAGAUAUUAGGAAGAAUACCGGUGGCGAAGGCGACUUUCUGGUCAUCAUCUGACGCUGAGGUACGAAAGCGUGGGUAGCAAACAGG